AGUAGAGGUGUCGGAUGGAACCCGAUCGGCGAUGACGGUGAGCUCCAAAAGAAAAAGAUUUCUCAGACGAAUCUGGAAGAAGAGUGAAUUGAAUCGACAACUUGGCAAGUCUCUUUGAGUUCAGCUAUCCGAUCUCCAUUUCAGUGUUCAUCAUCCAGAAAGAGCCAUUGAUUUCAAAAACAUAGUGGGUCCUGCUCUGUCUUUGAUCAACCCUUCUCUCGUCUUAAGUUCUGGGGUUGUUAGGUUUUUACUUAAGCUUCCAGGUUUUGUCGCUCAGCGAAAUUUUUUUGAUUUCUCCAUUCAGGAUAAGAAUUAUCGAACAAAGUUGAAUCUUUAGUUUUAGAAAGCAUUAUGGUUUCAUUACAAGAUAUUGCUAUGUCGAAUAUCUUCGGCUCUUUGUCUUUGCUCAAAUAUACUUAUAAUUUUGUGAUUAUCUAUCUUUUUAGGAAUGUAUCUUUGUAUUCGUUUGAUUCGAAACGAUACUGAAGGAGCUUUUGAUCCUCUCAAUCAAAUCUUUUGACUGCUAACUUUGUUUACGAUUGCGUAUUGCUAUUGAUUACUUACAUUUCGUAAAUUGUUUCCUUGAUUGAGUGUAGUGUGGUUUACGAAUAUUAGAAUUGGAAAUUUGAUCCUUUUUUUGCCUUAACUGAUUUGCGAAAUUCUACGGAACGAGAAUUUCCUUGAGGAACUCGUAUUUGUAGAAGAAUGUCAAGUGGAGACGAAAGUGUCUCUUUUCCGUGUAAUUUCUAUUCUUGAAACUGGCAAGGCCACAACUUGUUCAGAUGUUCAUCGGAGAUGGAGCAAAACUUGUUCGUGAUGCUUUUGUUGCUUGCAAAAGAGAAACCCCCUUGUAUUGUAUUCAUAGAUGAGAUUGACGCAAUAAGGAACAAAGCAUUUUGAUAGAUGUCAAUUUUGAAGAGCUUGCUCGAUCAACUGAUGAUUUCAAUGGAGCUCAGCUCAAAGCAGUGUGUGUUGAAGCGGGCAUGCUUGCCUUGCGCCGGAAUGCAACCGAGGUCAACCACGAGGAUUUCAAUCAAGGAAUAAUUCAAGUA